rnacentral:rRNA from 1 species
AAUAGAUACCCCGGUAGUCCUGGCGGUAAACGAUGGGCACUAGGUGUCAGGGGCUUCGACCCCCUUGGCGCCGCCGCUAACGCAUUAAGUGCCCCGCCUGGGGAGUACGGCCGCAAGGUUGAAACUCAAAGGAAUUGACGGGGCCCCGCACAAGCAGCGGAGCAUGUGGUUUAAUUGGAUGCUACGCCAAGAACCUUACCAAGACUUGACUUCCCAGUGUAAGCCUAUGGAAACAUGGGCCCCCUUCGGGCACUGGUGACAGGUGGUGCAUGGUUGUCGUCAGCUCGUGCCGUGAGGUGUUGGAUUAAGUUCCGCAACGAGCGCAACCCUCGUGGUUAGUUGCCAUCAUUCAGUUGGGCACUCUAGCCAGACUGCCGGCGUCAAGCCGGAGGAAGGUGGGGAUGACGUCAAAUCAUCAUGCCCCUUACGUCUUGGGCUACACACGUGCUACAAUGGGCGAUACAAUGGGUUGCCACUUCGCGAGAAGGAGCGAAUCCCUCAAAGUCGUCCUCAGCUCGGAUUGUAGG